UGGGGAAUUUUGGACAAUGGGCGCAAGCCUGAUCCAGCCAUGCCGCUUGCAGGAUGAAGGCCUUCGGGUUGUAAACUGCUUUUGUACGGAACGAAAUGACUCCUUCUAAUAAAGGGGGUCCAUGACGGUACCGUAAGAAUAAGCACCGGCUAACUACGUGCCAGCAGCCGCGGUAAUACGUAGGGUGCAAGCGUUAAUCGGAAUUACUUGGCGUAAAGCGUGCGCAGGCGGUUAUGCAAGACAGAGGUGAAAUCCCCGGGCUCAACCUGGGAACUGCCUUUGUGACUGCAUAGCUAGAGUACGGUAGAGGGGGAUGGAACUCCGCGUGUAGCAGUGAAAUGCGUAGAUAUGCGGAGGAACACCGAUGGCGAAGGCAAUCCCCUGGACCUGUACUGACGCUCAUGCACGAAAGCAUGGGGAGCAAACA
rnacentral:rRNA from 1 species